rnacentral:tRNA from 5 species
GGCGGCGUGGCCGAGUGGCUUAGGCAGGGCCCUGCAAAGGCCCGUACCCCAGUUCGACUCUGGGCGCCGCCUCCA